GCCCCCAUCGUCUAGUGGUCAGGACACCAGCCUUUCAAGCUGGAAACACGGGUUCGAUUCCCGUUGGGGGCGCCA
rnacentral:tRNA from 1 species